rnacentral:rRNA from 1 species
UACGGGGGGGGCAAGCGUUGUUCGGAAUUACUGGGCGUAAAGCGUGCGCAGGCGGCUUCUCAAGUCAGGGGUGAAAGCCCAGAGCUUAACUCUGGAAUUGCCUUUGAGACUGGGAGGCUUGAGUACGGGAGAGGUGAGUGGAAUUCCCAGUGUAGAGGUGAAAUUCGUAGAUAUUGGGAAGAACACCGGUGGCGAAGGCGGCUCACUGGCCCGUAACUGACGCUCAUGCACGACAGCGUGGGGAUCAAACAGG